UACGUAGGGUGCAGGCGUUAAUCGGAAUUACUGGGCGUAAAGCGUGCGCAGGCGGUUUCUUAAGUCAGAUGUGAAAGCCCCGGGCUUAACCUGGGAACUGCGUUUGAAACUGGGAGACUUGAGUGUGGCAGAGGGGGUGGAAUUCCCGGUGUAGUAGUGAAAUGCGUAGAUAUCGGGAGGAACACCAGUGGCGAAGGCGGCCUUCUGGCUCGCAACUGACGCUGUAGCGCGAAAGCGUGGGGAGCGAACGGG
rnacentral:rRNA from 1 species